GCCUGGCUAGCCUCAGUCGGUAAUAGCAUGAUACUAUUAAUCUCAGUUCGGGGGUUCGAGCCCCCUGGGGGUUGGGCG
rnacentral:tRNA from 1 species